CUUAGGUAAUUAGAUUAUAUCUUUUUGAGGUAAUACUAUAUUACAUGUAAUGCAGCUUAUCUGUGAAAGUAAUAAAAGUAUAAUCUGAUUAUCUAUUAUAAAAUUAUAUAUAAUUCUAUCAAGAUUAUAUGCUAUCAAAUAUUUUUUUAUCUCGUAUCAACUGAUUUAUAUAGGAGAGGAUCAUCUAUUCCGUGUGAGGUAUUUUUUAAAGAAUAAAAAAGUGGAUCAAUGGAUCAGAGUGGUAAGGCCACCAGACAAAUCUACCAAUCAAUCACACCGACUGCGGAGAGACGGAGACCACGCC
rnacentral:lncRNA from 1 species